rnacentral:rRNA from 1 species
UAGAGUUUGAUCCUGGCUCAGAUUGAACGCUGGCGGCAUGCCUUACACAUGCAAGUCGAACGGCAGCACGGGGGCAACCCUGGUGGCGAGUGGCGAACGGGUGAGUAAUACAUCGGAACGUGUCCUGUAGUGGGGGAUAGCCCGGCGAAAGCCGGAUUAAUACCGCAUACGCUCUACGGAGGAAAGGGGGGGAUCUUAGGACCUCCCGCUACAGGGGCGGCCGACGGCAGAUUAGCUAGUUGGUGGGGUAAAGGCCUACCAAGGCGACGAUCUGUAGCUGGUCUGAGAGGACGACCAGCCACACUGGGACUGAGACACGGCCCAGACUCCUACGGGAGGCAGCAGUGGGGAAUUUUGGACAAUGGGGGCAACCCUGAUCCAGCAAUGCCGCGUGUGUGAAGAAGGCCUUCGGGUUGUAAAGCACUUUUGUCCGGAAAGAAAACGCCGUG